rnacentral:rRNA from 1 species
UAUUUUGAUUGUGCAAAGGUAGCAUAAUAAUUAGUUUUUUAAUUGAGAACUAGUAUGAAUGGUUGGACGAGAAAAAAGCUGUCUCAAUUUAAUUUUAAUUAGAAUUUUAUUUUUAAGUUAAAAAGCUUAAAUAUUUUUAAAAGACGAGAAGACCCUAUAGAGUUUUAUAAAUAUUUUAUUUUAAAUAAUUUUAGUAUUUUAUUUAUUAAUUAUUAUUAUAUUUAUUUAGUUGGGGUGACUAAAAAAUUUAAUUAACUUUUUUUAUUAAUUAACAUUGAUUUAUGAAUAAUUGAUCC